rnacentral:rRNA from 1 species
GACGAACGCUGGCGGCGUGCUUAACACAUGCAAGUCGAACGGAAAGGCCUGCUUUCCCUUGUGGAUUGCGGGUACUCGCGUGGCGAACGGGUGAGUAACACGUGAGUGAUCUGCCCCCAACUUGGGUAUAAGCCUGGGAAACUGGGUCUAAUUCCCGAUAGGACUGCAGGGUGGUGCCUGUGGUGGAAAACGAUUUUCUAGUGGUUGGGGAUGAGCUCGCGGCCUAUCAGCUUGUUGGUGGGGUAAUGGCCUACCAAGGCGGCGACGGGUAGCCGGCCUGGGAGGGUGGACGGCCACAGUGGGACUGAGAUACGGCCCAGACUCCUACGGGAGGCAGCAGUGGGGAAUAUUGCGCAAUGGGCGGAAGCCUGAUGCAGCGACGCCGCGUGGGGGAUGACGGCCUUCGGGUUGUAAACUCCUUUCGACCGCGAGGAAGCCACCUGGUUGGAAGGGUGGUGACGGUAGUGGUAGAAGAAGCACCGGCUAACUACGUG